UGGAAGUGCUAUCAUUCAGUCUGUUACCC
rnacentral:piRNA from 1 species